rnacentral:lncRNA from 1 species
GGCAGGGCAGAUAUUUCACCCACUGUUGUGGGGAAAAAAGCAGAUGGGCUCCCAAAAGCCCAAUUGAAAAGAUUUAUGAAAGUGCAACUGCCUCACAUCUAUCCACAACAGGCCCGUAACUUAAUUCCUGAGGUCUCGGGCGUGGGUAAGUGGGUUGUAGCUAUUUAACAAGCUCAUGGUAGGAGUUGAAGCUCAACUUGCGGCAGACGAGUGAUCCUAUGCCAGUGUUUCGCUUUCUCUGCAAUCUUUCAUUUAACGAAACAAUGUCGCGAAUUGCAGUUGCUAAUUUGUGCUCAUUGUGGUACCUGAUGAGAGGAAUCAAAAUGGAGAAUUGGUUUUGAUUAUGUUGUCUAACAUUCAGUAAAAGUGUAGUUAACUUGGCUACUUCAGCAGUAAGUUGAAGGGCCGCUGUGAUUGUGAAGUAACUUGUUAUACAGGAAAACAUUGUAACAUCUGGCCAAUUCUAGUGAAAUGAUUCAUGUUUCUGAAUACUAUAACAAUUUAGAACACAGAAGACGUGAGGCAAAGAAGAGUGAUUACCGAAUAUAUAUUUCAAUAAAUUAUCCUAAUGUGCACAAUUAUCUUAAUGAAUUAGCAUUCAUGCCUUUACAUAAAAAGCUGGGCAUCAUGCAGAUAAUGUUUUCAAAAGGCAUUCAAGUAGUACUAUGAUGAAAUGAUCGUGCAAAUUAAAAAACAGGACGAGGACAAAAAUUUAGCACUGCUAAUAAGUAAACAAUUAUCCAAGUUAGCUUAAAUUAUAAUACAAAAUGACCCAACAAUUAUGUUAAAACUAUAAAAUGCUUGCGUAUAUGCAUUGUGAAUUUUAUUGACAAACACUCAAAACCCACACAGACACACAAGGAUCUAAACACUAAUCAAACUCACCACAAGUCAAGCACAUAACUGCUUACUCUAUCCAACGCCGAUAUUCACACAAAGGAGAGAACAAAACUUUAAAAGAGCCUGCUGUGGUGGAGCUCGUUGCAACAGCUGGAAGCUUGAAGACGAGAGAGAAAGAGUUGUAAUGAGGGGGAAAGGAAAGAGCCAGACGCGUGAAGGUGAUUGUUGGAUGCGUUUGUUGCGUGUGUGAGGUGUUCCACGCCCAGGAAGAGACGUUUUAUACUUUGCACAAAAU